UUGUGGUAAUAAUUUAUGUGCUUUAUCGUCCGUAUUUAAACCCAGAUUUCCUGCAAACUGUUGAUUUCCGUCCAAUAUCCCAUUUACAGUGCAAUUGGUCGUGGUUUUCAUACGCGCGUUCCGUCCGUGGUAACAUAAAAGCUAACAAACAUUGAAGCAUAACUGCGGUGAGAAAGACGACGGCGCGAGGCAACUCUCUCUGACAUGCUGAAAUAUUCGGUGGGUGCUGACUGAGGGAGUGAUUGCCGAUGAAACAGCAUUCGAAGCAACAACAAAAAAAACUUCCGAACAUACACCGUGAUAUGUGGAAGAGUGCAUCCACCGAUAAAACAAAGGAGCAUCUUCGGUGCCGAGGAGGCCCCGAAAAAAAAACCAACAACCCCCUUGUUGGAGUUGCACGGCGAAACAAAACGGCCACAUGAAACAGGAAGGCAAUCAUAAUAACGGUGCAAAACAAAUGAAGAGAUAUAAGUACGGCACGGCCAGUCUUAACUCCCUCACACGGCGCAGACAGGUACAUCACCAGCUUCUUUUUUGCUCCGGACAUGAACGGCAGCAAAAGUCAAACGGCAACACUAUUAUCACACACAAACACCCACAAAAAAAACGUUCUUCGCCGUACUCCGGAGCGUGGUACUCGGGACCUGAGGGACGGGCGUAUUGCAUAUGAGCGCACGAGAGGCAGUGCGUCUCCGCGAGCUAUUAAGAUGCGCCAAGUGUUCUGGUUGCUCGGAGGAUUCUUUCCAUUUUACACUCCAUUUUACUGGAUGAUGGACUGGGCGAAAAGUGAACACGUUCUUCACCAUAAAAGAGCUCGUCGUUGCGUUCAUCGAUUCAUCUAAACUUUUGGAAUGUAUUACAUGAAGACUUCUUCUAGUAAGCUGGACUCAAAAUUCAAUUGGAAAAUAAUUAAAAUAUUUUUUUCCAACUUCGAACACUGUGCGAAAACAAACGCAUGAGCGUAGCAGGCACAGCAGCGAAGCUACGUUCCAAAACAACCGAUGUUCAUCAUUCAAGUAGCACCUUCACAUGGGCGAAAAUUCCCAUAGCAACCAAAAUAACAGUAUAUAACCGAGCAGCACGUCCAGCACGGUUAUUAAAAUUUUAACUUUCGAACGGAGAAGUUCUCUUUAAGGAAGAAAAUUAAGGAAAAAAAAAGUUUCGAAAUUUUCAAGUGUGUUUAGUAGUGUGAAUCGAAGUCCCGUCAUAUUUUGCUAGAACUUUUACAACUUGAAGAAACCACUGAAGCUAUCCGGAUUGAGCCCUUGAAUCUCUGUGCCUGUUUGAAAAUCGAACCACUAGCUACUCGCUACAUCCUACUACGCCGUUAAUAUUUGAUUUAUUCGUCAAGUCAAUCUACCCGAAACGAAAAUGUGCGAUCCGUGCUGUGGUCCCUGCGAUCCUUGCUACUCCUGCUAUCCUUGCUCGACCCCCCGUUCCCCCUCCUAUAUCUGUUGGUGGAAGCGUCCAUUUAUUGUGUUCGACAGUACCGAUACGGUGCACUACACGUGGAAUCUGCGCCGCAAGGAACCGAAUAUUCCGGAUAUUCGGUACGAAGAAAUGUACGAUCGGUGCCGGCGAAGAAUAUUUUAAAUGCUUUAUCAUCCUUCCCCCCCCCCCAAUAUGGUGUGGCAUAGGAGUGGGGAAACGGUGGGGGCCCCUGUGGACCCUGCGGACCUUGUGGACCUUGUGGUCCUUGCGAUCCGUGUGGAUCGUGUGGACCGUGUGGGCCUUGUGGACCAUGUGGACCGUGUGAUCCGUGUGGUCCUUGCGGACCGUGUGGACCCUGUGGUCCUUGCGGACCGUGUGGACCGUGCGGUCCAUGCGGACCGUGCGAUCCUUGCGAACCAACCUGUCGCACCGCCCACGACCUUAACUGCAUGCCCCAGUGUCCCACCAUCUGCCCUCCCCAACGAUGUGGACCACGGUUCAUUACGGUGCAGCAACCGCCCCGUCUGGUCGCACAGAAGAAGGUGAUCAACUGUUCGCGUACGGUGAUUGACAAGCACGUCGUGCCGCAAACCAAAGCGAUCGUCGAACCGAAGCUUAUCUACCAGCCCAAAACGAUUUGCGAGCCGUGCAUUAUCUACAAGCGGCGUACCGUGCCGGAACCUAGAAUUAUCUACUACAAGCGCAUCGUACCGGACCCGAAGGUGGUCUGUACGCCGCGCGUCAUCGUGGAACCGAAGGAGAUCUGCACCACGCUCGUUUGCCAACCGAAGCCGCAAGUUGUGCAAGUGCCGCCGGCUCGGGAGUACUGCUGCGUACCGGCCGGUACCACGUUCUACAAAAAUGGCUGCUGUCCGCCCAGUGUCGGCCCGAUCUGUGCUCCAAAACGGUGCUAGGAAGCGAACAGGAAAGGGAGCAGCUCUCGCUCUCUCUCUCUGGAGUGUUGCAAAAUCCGUUGAUGGUCGCCGAAACCAUGCAAGAGUCGUGAACUGCGAGGCGGCAUCCUGAUCUCCAACUGCGAGUGUCUUAAACGCAAUGGUCUGCAGCAUGAUUGUCCGCGCUCAGAGUGUCAGGCAAAACCAUGCUGUCUUACCAAACCGGAAGCCUCCUGCUGUCCAUCGCAAUGGGCUCGAAGAUACCGAUUUGUGACGAUGGGCAAGAAGAGUAACCCGGUUCGUCCGAAGGUUUGCUGCCUACCGACUGGUGGUGGCGGUUGCAAUCCUUGCCCCAUUGAUCCAACAUGCUGUGGUCCGAUCUGUGAUCCUUGCUGUGCGCCGUGUGGUCCCUGUGGCCCAUGUGGUCCUUGUGGGCCAUGCGACCCGUGUGGACCUUGCGGACCUUGUGCUCCUUGCGGACCGUGCGGACCUUGCGACCCAUGCUGUCCACCCGUAUGUGGUCCAGUUUGUGAUCCGUGUUGCCCUCCAGUUUGCGACCCUAGCUAUCCUCCAGUGUGUGAUCCUUCCUGCAGCGUGCCGUACUGUGAUCCUUGCAGUGACGCCUGUGUGCCGUGUGGACCGUGCUAGUGUAGAAAAGAUAGAGCUUGUGCUUUGACGCGUGUUUAACACAAAUCCCCGUGUAUCCCAAGCCAAGCCUGUUGCGUAGUGUGCCAACCCACCCGGACCUAGUCUUAGCAUCAAUGUUAUCAAGGCACUCCUAUACUCCGUUCGAAGAAAUACCUGGCGUUUAUCUACGUUUCCCGUUUGCAUAGAAAAUGUUGAGUUGUGGAAAAUUUUAAGACACGUUAUAGCAGCAGCACAUCUUUAGCAAGCUACACCUUUUAGAAGUGGAGAAAGAGAGCAGCAUCGUUAGCAGCAGCAUAUUUAGUGUGGCAGUCAGAUCCAUCUACAAAGAAUAACGCGCUACCCUGCACAGUUAGAAAUCAAGGUUCAAUCAAAUAAAAAGCGUAUAAUCAAUUCGGAAAUCAA